GAUGAACGCUGGCGGCGUGCCUAAUACAUGCAAGUCGAGCGAACGGACGAGAAGCUUGCUUCUCUGAUGUUAGCGGCGGACGGGUGAGUAACACGUGGAUAACCUACCUAUAAGACUGAGAUAACUUCGGGAAACCGGAGCUAAUACCGGAUAAUAUUUUGAACCGCAUGGUUCAAAAGUGAAAGACGGUCUUGCUGUCACUUAUAGAUGGAUCCGCGCUGCAUUAGCUAGUUGGUAAGGUAACGGCUUACCAAGGCAACGAUACAUAGCCGACCUGAGAGGGUGAUCGGCCACACUGGAACUGAGACACGGUCCAGACUCCUACGGGAGGCAGCAGUAGGGAAUCUUCCGCAAUGGGCGAAAGCCUGACGGAGCAACGCCGCGUGAGUGAUGAAGGUCUUCGGAUCGUAAAACUCUGUUAUUAGGGAAGAACAUAUGUGUAAGUAACUGUGCACAUCUUGACGGUACCUAAUCAGAAAGCCACGGCUAACUACGUG
rnacentral:rRNA from 1 species